rnacentral:rRNA from 1 species
ACGGAGGGGGCUAGCGUUAUUCGGAAUUACUGGGCGUAAAGCGCACGUAGGCGGAUUGAAAAGUUAGAGGUGAAAUCCCAGGGCUCAACCUUGGAACUGCCUUUAAAACUAUCAGUCUAGAGUUCGAGAGAGGUGAGUGGAAUUCCGAGUGUAGAGGUGAAAUUCGUAGAUAUUCGGAGGAACACCAGUGGCGAAGGCGGCUCACUGGCUCGAUACUGACGCUGAGGUGCGAAAGCGUGGGGAGCAAACAGG